rnacentral:rRNA from 1 species
GAUGAACGCUGGCGGCGUGCCUAACACAUGCAAGUCGAGCGAACAGACCAGGAGCUUGCUCCUCUCACGUUAGCGGCGGACGGGCGAGUAACACGUGGAUAACCUACCUAUCUGUCUGGGAUAACUUCGGGAAACCGGAUCUAAUACCGGAUAAUAUAUUGCACCGCAUGGUUCAAUAGUGAGAUUCGGUUUUUCUGUCACUUAUAGAUGGAUCCGGGCCGCUUUAGAUAGUGGGGAAGGUAACGGCAUACCAAGGCAACGAUGCGUAGCCGACCUGAGAGGGGGAUCGGCCCCACCGGAACUGAGACGCGGUCCCGACUCCUACGGGAGGCAGCGGUAGGGAAUGGUACGCAAUGGGCGGGAGCUUGACGGAGCAACGCCGCGUGGGUGAUAGAGGUCUUCGGAUCGUAAAACUCUAUUAUUAGGGAAGAACAAAUGUGUAAGUAACGAUGCACGUAUUGACGGUACCGAAUCAGAAAGCCACGGCUAACUACGUG